rnacentral:sRNA from 1 species
CACAGCGGUCCGGAGCCGGCGGGUUUUCAUUGAAAUUGAUCCGCCCCGUUGGCGUUAACUUGACCGCUGU